rnacentral:sRNA from 1 species
GUCGUGAGAUGUUGGGUUAAGUCCCGCAACGAGCGCAACCCUUGUCCCUAGUUGCUACGCAAGGGCACUCUAGGGAGACUGCCGGUGACAAACCGGAGGAAGGUGGGGAUGACGUCAAGUCCUCAUGGCCCUUAUGGGUAGGGCUUCACACGUCAUACAAUGGCCGGUACAGAGGGUUGCCAAAGCGCGAGCUGGAGCCAAUCCCAGAAAGCCGGUCGUAGUCCGGAUUGCAGUCUGCAACUCGACUGCAUGAAGUCGGAAUCGCUAGUAAUCGCGGAUCAGCAUGUCGCGGUGAAUACGUUCCCGGGUCUUGUACACACCGCCCGUCACACCAUGGGAGCGGGAUGUACCAGAAGUAGGUAGGCUAACCGCAAGGGGGCCGCUUACCACGGUGCGUUUCGUGACUGGGGUGAAGUCGUAACAAGGUAGCCGUAUCGGAAGGUGCGGCUGGAUCACCUCCUUUCUAGAGAUAACCCAUGUCUUCAAGUGUCCACUCUUGUCGGUUGUUGCUAUCUGGUAUCAGAGGUCAGGAAUCAGGCAUCAGAGAAGUCACCGCGGCGCGGGUUGGCUCCUCAUUCCUAAUACCGGAUAGCUGAUCCCCGAUUUGGGCCUGUAGCUCAGCUGGUUAGAGCACCGUCUUGAUAAGGCGGGGGUCGAUGGUUCGAAUCCAUCCAGACCCACCAAGGUCAGAAGACAGGAGUCAGACGACAGAAGACAGCAAGUUCGAAGGCGGGGCUGUAGCUCAGCUGGGAGAGCACCUGCUUUGCAAGCAGGGGGUCGUCGGUUCGAUCCCGAUCAGCUCCACCAGCUGCACAGUUGGGUUUGACUGACCUCUGUCCCCGGACUUCUGAAAUGCAAGCAGGGGGUCGCCGGUUCGAUCCCAUCCAGCUCCACCACUUUAGAAAGGCGGAGGCCAGAAUCAGAAAACCUAGUGCAGAGGGCAGAAGUAAACGUGGAGGUUUACUUCUGAUCUUUGGAUCGGUGCCGAGAAAUUCGGUUGUUCUUUAAAAAAAUGGAAGAAGUAAAGCGCACACGACGGAACAACGUCGUGUGUUGGGUUAGAUUGUAUCGAGCCAUUUUCUCCUAGUCCGAGAAAGUGGAAAUCGCAAACACCCGUGACGCGAAGCAGCAGUGCUUAGUGUUAUGGGGUCAAGCGACUAAGUGCAUGUGGUGGAUGCCUUGGCGAUCACAGGCGAUGAAGGACGUGGCAGCCUGCGAAAAGCUCCGGGGAGCUGGCAAACAAGCAUUGAUCCGGAGAUGU